CGUCUUGACGUGAGAGCCCUUAUCAGAGAGCAUCACCGUCUCCACCUGGCUGUCCUUCGGCCUCACGUGGAGAACAAAAGGCAAAAGUCCUGAAUGUGGUACUCUGUCACAAACUGGCAUCUCUGCAGUAGUCGUGACCCCAAGAUGCAGGAACCAGGAGAGCGACGUGCAGGUAAGAUGUUUUUAAUGUCAUCAAACAGAGGACAAAGCAGUCUUGCAUGUAAGUUCAACAAACAUAAAGCCAUUGUCGUGCACCGAGGAGCGCAUGAGACCGGCAUAAAUAAGAACAUGCUGACUGACAGCAGGUGUGGACCGGCUGCCAAUCAACAGCAGGUAAGAGAAAAAACACAGCACUCAGCGGGACAAGCAGGAAGUGGAAACAAAAUAAGAGCACUGAUAGGAAGUGAAUACAAAACAAGGAAACAAACAGAAAUUAAGUGACGGAUAAUCACAUACUUGUCAGGUUCAAACACUGAUGACAUCUAUUAAACAGACGAGAAGCAAGGAAUCAUGUGUAGACAGAGUUCAAUUUGGCUCAAUGAGGAGACACAUGUUUUGGGCUGUAUUCUAGUUACAGAUCCAAGCUACGUUCUAAGGUUUAGCCCACGUGCUUCCUCUAUUUAUUUGGGAGGUCCCUGGUUACAUCACUGAAGCUGUCGCUGAGGGAAGGGGCUAAUCUCCACAACUCCAGUUAGACACAAUAUAUGAUCAUACAAGAAAUGCAGAUGUGUUGACACUGGUGAUAUCGCCUUGUCUCUGCUCUGUCUGCGUCACGGCGGUGUUCGGCCUUGGUAGUCAGCAGGCCGUUCCAGGACACAAACACUGAUACAAGACUGGCUUGCAAUAUUUUGGACUGCCGGCUUUGCAGGGACAAAGAAAAAUACCACUUCAGCACAAUUGACAAUAAUUAUAGCAACGGCCCUUAAGCAUAAGAGUUGUGUGAUAAUAUAUACAUAAUUAAUCUAACAAUACUUAAUGGACAGGUUUGAAUAAACUAUUUGGUGUGUUAGGAUUAUGUGUGAAUAGAUACACAGCUGAUUGUAUUAUGUGUGUUUUUGAAUGAAUGGACAAAUGUCUUGACAUUGAGUAUUUGUGAGUGGAUAGACCGAUGAUUACAUUAUCUGUGUAUGGGAAUGGACAGACAGAUAAUUUUAUUAAGUGUACACAGUAUGUGAAUGGAUGGGCAAAUGUGUUUUCAUCAAAUGUAUAUAAUUGGUAUGUGUGUACUUGUGGGUUUAGACUGGCAACCCACGGCUCUUUAGUGCUGCUCUAGUGGCUCCCUGGAGCAUUUUUAAUAAGGAUUGAAAAUGGAAAAAGAUGGAGGGAAAAUAUUUUUUGGGGUUUUAUUAUGUUUUUUGUUUGAGGACAAACAUGACACAAACCUUCCCAAUUGUUCGAAUGCCCACUGUUUAACAUGUUUGUGUGUAUGCUUCACUGAUGACAGUAUUUGGUGAACAUCGUUUUAUCCUACGAAUUUUGGCGAUUCUUGAACUCGCCAUAGUGUGGACUGUGACGAGAAAGUUUGUUUACAUGUAAAAUGUUACACUUCUUCAUUGUCUCGUUUUGUCCACCAAAUAUUUUAUACUGUGCGGGAAUGCACAAAGGUGCACUUUGUUGAUGUUAUUGACUUGUUGGAGUGCUAAUCAGGCAUAUUUGGUCAAUGCUUGUCUGCAAGCUAAUUGAUGCUAACAUGCUAUUUAGGCUAGCUGUAUGUACAUAUUGCACCAUUAUGCCUCAUUUGUAGGCAUAUUUGAGCUCAUUUCAUAUCCUUUACUUAUGUCCUCUUUGAAUAUAAUUUAUAUUUGCAUGUCUCGUGACACAUUACCUGUAUAUAAUAUUGGCUGCAUUUCUGUUGUUUGUGUGCCAUGUUGUUCCAGACCACAGCAAACAUUACCUGGCCUGGCAAAGAUUGUAAUAAAUCAAUUAAAAGAA